AGGAGGAGGAAAAGAGAAAAUAAUGUUUGGUAAAAAUACGCAGUCUUCACCGAAUGAAAGGGGUGUGGAGCUUUGCAGCUUCUGCCCGCAGCUUCUGCUCAGCCAUCGUGGGAGUCGCUGCUUCCUCAGAGUUCCCUCCUGAGAAGCUCAGAACAAAGGAGUGGUGACUGACAAGUUUUACAUGUCACUGCUGAACGAGUUGGCUUCACCAGACCUGUCCAGAGAAGUUGGGCUGUGGUGAGCUGGUGUCUGAAGCAACCAGGCUUGACUUGGAAAUGAAAUAAAGACAAGAGAUGCCCAUUUCCAGUGUUCCCUGUCCUACUGCGCAGAGAAACUUGGUAGGACGUAAUACCCCAGCAAUAAUAGUCAGCUUUGACUUUGUACUCUGCAGACAUUAACUAGCUCACCUCACACCCCUGCGAGGUAAGGAAAUGGUGUGAUUGCCACCUUGCCUCUGGCACAGCAAACACUCUAGUUAAAGUUGAGGUUUGCCAAGAAAACUGCUGGCUGUGUUGUUCCUUUCUCAUUUCUCCUCACAGUUGCAGAACCACCUCUUAGUGCCCCAAGAGGUGUAGUUUCUCUGCACCAUUCCACAC